rnacentral:rRNA from 1 species
AGUGAACGCUGGCGGUAGGCCUAACACAUGCAAGUCGAUCGGCAGCACAGUAAGAGCUUGCUCUUACGGGUGGCGAGUGGCGGACGGGUGAGGAAUACAUCGGAAUCUACUUUUUCGUGGGGGACAACGUAGGGAAACUUACGCUAAUACCGCAUACGACCUACGGGUGAAAGCAGGGGAUCUUCGGACCUUGCGCGAUUGAAUGAGCCGAUGUCGGAUUAGCUAGUUGGGGGGGUAAAGGCCCACCAAGGCGAAGAUCCGUAGCUGGUUGGAGAGGAUGAUCAGCCACACUGGAACUGGGACACGGUCCAGACUCCUACGGGAGGCAGCAGAGGGGAAUAUUGGACAAUGGGCGCAAUCCUGAUCCAGCAAUACCGCGGGGGUGAAGAAGGCCUUCGGGUUGUAAAGCCCUUUUGUUGGGAAAGAAAAGCGGCAGGUUAAUACCCCGCUGUUCUGACGGUACCCAACGAAUAAGCACCGGCUAACUUCGUG